AUGGAAGUGAUGAUUAUUUCCCCAGAUGAUCGACGCUGAUUAGAACUGAGCAAUUUUAUUUUAUUUUAUUUUUUUCUCUCUUUUGAGAAACCAAGCCAAGUGUUUCUGAUCCAU